UUGCGAAACGGAAAUGAUGCCUUCCGACUGAACCGCCUUAAAAAAGCUGAUGGCGUCUACUAAAAU
rnacentral:ncRNA from 2 species